rnacentral:rRNA from 1 species
CCCGACUACAUGAAGCUGGAAUCGCUAGUAAUCGCGGAUCAGAAUGCCGCGGUGAAUACGUUCCCGGGUCUUGUACACACCGCCCGUCACACCAUGGGAGUCGGAAAUGCCCGAAGUCUGUGACCCAACCUUAGGGAGGGAGCAGCCGAAGGCAGGUCGGAUGACUGGGGUGAAGUCGUAACAAGGUACC